GACGAACGCUGGCGGCGUGCCUAAUACAUGCAAGUCGAGCGCAGGAAACCGUCUGAACCCUCCGGGGGGACGACGGCGGAAUGAGCGGCGGACGGGUGAGUAACACGUAAAGAACCUGCCCAUAGGUCUGGGAUAACCACGAGAAAUCGGGGCUAAUACCGGAUGUGUCAUCGGACCGCAUGGUCCGCUGAUGAAAGGCGCUCCGGCGUCGCCCAUGGAUGGCUUUGCGGUGCAUUAGCUAGUUGGUGGGGUAACGGCCCACCAAGGCGACGAUGCAUAGCCGACCUGAGAGGGUGAUCGGCCACACUGGGACUGAGACACGGCCCAGACUCCUACGGGAGGCAGCAGUAGGGAAUCUUCCACAAUGGACGAAAGUCUGAUGGAGCAACGCCGCGUGAACGAUGAAGGCUUUCGGGUCGUAAAGUUCUGUUGUAAGGGAAGAACAAGUGCCGCGGGCAAUGGCGGCACCUUGACGGUACCUUGCGAGAAAGCCACGGCUAACUACGUGCCAGCCGCCGCAGUAA
rnacentral:rRNA from 1 species